rnacentral:rRNA from 1 species
UACGAGGGGGGCAAAUGUUGUUCGGAAUCACUGGGCGUAAAGGGAGCGUAGGCGGGCUUCUAAGUUAGAUGUUUAAUCCCGGGGCCCAACCCCGGACAGGCACCUAAAACUGGAAGUCUUGAAUAGUGGAGAGGACGGCGGAAUUGGGGGUGUAGCGGUGGAAUGCGUAGAGAUCCCCAAGAACACCAGUUGCGAAGGCGGUCGUCUGGACACAUAUUGACGCUGAGGCUCGAAAGCAUGGGGAGCAAACAGG